AACAGGGGCGGAAAGGCCACCUCUCUGGUCUGUAACUGACGCUGAGGAGCGAAAGCGUGGGGAGCGAACAGGAUUAGAUACCCUGGUAGUCCACGCCGUAAACGAUGAGUGCUAAGUGUUAGGGGGUUUCCGCCCCUUAGUGCUGCAGCUAACGCAUUAAGCACUCCGCCUGGGGAGUACGGUCGCAAGACUGAAACUCAAAGGAAUUGACGGGGGCCCGCACAAGCGGUGGAGCAUGUGGUUUAAUUCGAAGCAACGCGAAGAACCUUACCAGGUCUUGACAUCCUCUGACAAUCCUAGAGAUAGGACGUCCCCUUCGGGGGCAGAGUGACAGGUGGUGCAUGGUUGUCGUCAGCUCGUGUCGUGAGAUGUUGGGUUAAGUCCCGCAACGAGCGCAACCCUUGAUCUUAGUUGCCAGCAUUCAGUUGGGCACUCUAAGGUGACUGCCGGUGACAAACCGGAGGAAGGUGGGGAUGACGUCAAAUCAUCAUGCCCCUUAUGACCUGGGCUACACACGUGCUACAAUGGACAGAACAAAGGGCAGCGAAACCGCAAGGUUAAGCCAAUCCCACAAAUCUGUUCUCAGUUCGGACCCACUC
rnacentral:rRNA from 1 species